rfam:Gorilla gorilla gorilla genomic chromosome, chr20, whole genome shotgun sequence
CAUGGAGAAAGCUGACUUGGCUGGUGUGGUGCAGAGAAGCCAGCUUGUUUAUGUGCUUAUUCCAUG